rfam:Brochothrix thermosphacta DSM 20171 = FSL F6-1036 c4, whole genome shotgun sequence.
UCUAGUAUGUUAUAGUAAUUGAGGUAGAGAAGUGGAAGACGGUGGCUAUCCUGAAGGGUGGUGAUGCUUAUGGAAAUAGGUGUCCAAUCUAGGAAAGGAAAGGCUUUUUUGUGACUAUUUUUGAGUCACUACAACUAAUGUUGGUUUUUGGAAUGUUUAUCAUUUCAUUAUUAAUGUUGG